rnacentral:rRNA from 1 species
UGGGGAAUAUUGCACAAUGGGGGAAACCCUGAUGCAGCGACGCCGCGUGAACGAAGAAGGUAUUCGUAUCGUAAAGUUCUGUCCUAUGGGAAGAUAAUGACAGUACCAUAGAAGAAAGCUCCGGCUAAAUACGUGCCAGCAGCCGCGGUAAUACGCAUGGAGCGAGCGUUGUCCGGAAUUAUUGGGCGUAAAGGGUACGCAGGCGGUUUAAUAAGUCGAAUGUUAAAGAUCGGGGCUCAACCCCGCAAAGCAUUGGAAACUGAUAAACUUGAGUAGUGGAGAGGAAAGUGGAAUUCCUAGUGUAGUGGUGAAAUACGUAGAUAUUAGGAGGAAUACCAGUAGCGAAGGCGACUUUCUGGACACAAACUGACGCUGAGGUACGAAAGCGUGGGGAGCAAACAGG